rnacentral:rRNA from 1 species
UACGUAGGGGGCUAGCGUUGUCCGGAAUCAUUGGGCGUAAAGCGCGUGUAGGCGGUCCGGUAAGUCCGCUGUGAAAGCCAGGGGCUCAACCCUUGGAUGCCGGUGGAUACUGUCGGGCUUGAGUACGGAAGAGGCGAGUGGAAUUCCUGGUGUAGCGGUGAAAUGCGCAGAUAUCAGGAGGAACACCAAUUGCGAAGGCAGCUCGCUGGGACGUUACUGACGCUGAGACGCGAAAGCGUGGGGAGCGAACAGG